GGCGUGGACCUGGAAGGUAGAAUUGACCGCUGGGAAUUGGUGGGUGCAGAGCGCCAGUGGCCCGUGGGAGCGUACGGACCGAGGGCUGGCUACGUAACGUAGAGGAGCUUCGUGGCAGCUGGGCUCGGCUGAGUCCGCGGGAGGCGGGCAAGAUGGCACUGGUUGGUGCCGGGGACAGUAGAGAGAUCGCUCGCACAACGCACACCAAGUUCGCACGCCUGGUGCUCGACGUUUUGCCCAGGCAGCUGCACAUGUGUUUGUUUCUCUCCUUUUUUUUAGAUCAGGCUUUGAGGUAUGUAGCAGGUAUGCGUUUCUAGAUCUUAUUUAACUUUUACUAUUGCAAAUGGAGGUAUGGGCUGAUGAUCAGAACAAUGUUCAUUUGACGGUCCGAACAAUAUUCAUUUGGUGGUUACCUUUAUCUUUUCUUUUUCUUGCGUGCUCACAUGCUCGCUCAAUUGGUCAGUACUGGUGAUGCAUCAUAUGUGCUGGUGUGUUACAACUAAGUAGCUGCUCUGCUCUCCGGAGAAACAUACCUACCUCCGUGCUCCGUCAAAGCGAGUAUUCUUCUUCUAUUGAUCCACCAAAUCAUCACAUGCUUCGUUGGUUCACCAGCGAGCGCAUGAGCUGCACUGGCGGCUGCUGCUUGCUUGCUACAACCUUUUUGCCGUUUUGCUGAAGCCGGCGUUGCCUAAUUGAUGCCAGAAACGCUGAAUACUCCGCGAGUCAGGAACGUGCAAACUAUACUUAAUGAAACCAUAUCCUUUGUCGAUAUCAUAUCGGAACCAUUUAAAAUUUUAAAUCAAGCAGGGCGGCUACUGCUUACGCUUUGUCAUCUAAAAAUCACACGAAAAGAAAUCUUAAACAACAGCUACAGGGUCCGAUGCAAGUUGGGUUCUGCUAUGGACAAGAGGGUUGUUGCCUGCUAAUGCUCCAUAAGCUUUCACCGAGUAUUAUUUUGGUUUUGGUGUGCGAAGAACCCCACGUCUUUUAAAUUAAGCUACCACAUGGCCAUCUGGGGCUUGAGCUCGUAAUCUCGAGGGGCAUUUCCUAAUGCAGUAGGACGCUGGACGCUUUCCUACAGUUUUUUUUUUUUCGAGACGGAGGCAAAAACCUUUGCCUCAGCUCA
rnacentral:lncRNA from 1 species